rnacentral:rRNA from 1 species
AUGAUUGAUACCGGAGCUUGCUCCACCAUUAAUCAUGAGUCGCGAACGGGUGAGUAACGCGUAGGUAACCUACCUCAUAGCGGGGGAUAACUAUUGGAAACGAUAGCUAAUACCGCAUAACAGUAUUUAUCGCAUGGUAAAUGCUUGAAAGGAGCAAUUGCUUCACUAUGAGAUGGACCUGCGUUGUAUUAGCUAGUUGGUGGGGUAACGGCUCACCAAGGCAUCGAUACAUAGCCGACCUGAGAGGGUGAUCGGCCACACUGGGACUGAGACACGGCCCAGACUCCUACGGGAGGCAGCAGUAGGGAAUCUUCGGCAAUGGGGGGAACCCUGACCGAGCAACGCCGCGUGAGUGAAGAAGGUUUUCGGAUCGUAAAGCUCUGUUGUAAGAGAAGAACGUGUGUGAGAGUGGAAAGUUCACACAGUGACGGUAACUUACCAGAAAGGGACGGCUAACUACGUGCCAGCAGCCGCGGUAAUACGUAGGUCCCGAGCGUUGUCCGGAUUUAUUGGGCGUAAAGCGAGCGCAGGCGGUUUGAUAAGUCUGAAGUAAAAGGCUGUGGCUUAACCAUAGUAUGCUUUGGAAACUGUCAAACUUGAGUGCAGAAGGGGAGAGUGGAAUUCCAUGUGUAGCGGUGAAAUGCGUAGAUAUAUGGAGGAACACCGGUGGCGAAAGCGGCUCUCUGGUCUGUAACUGACGCUGAGGCUCGAAAGCGUGGGGAGCAAACAGGAUUAGAUACCUGGUAGUCCACGCCGUAAACGAUGAGUGCUAGGUGUUGGGUCCUUUCCGGGACUCAGUGCCGC